AUACGUAGGGGGCGAGCGUUGUCCGGAAUGAUUGGGCGUAAAGGGCGCGUAGGCGGCGCGGUAAGUCUGGAGUGAAAGUCCUGCUUUCAAGGUGGGAAUUGCUUUGGAUACUGCCGCGCGUGAGUGCAGGAGAGGUUAUCGGAAUUCCCGGUGUAGCGGUGAAAUGCGUAGAGAUCGGGAGGAACACCAGUGGCGAAGGCGGGUAACUGGACUGCAACUGACGCUGAGGCGCGAAAGUGUGGGGAGCAAACAGGAUUAGAUACCCUGGUAGUCCACACUGUAAACGAUGAAUGCUAGGUGUAAGAGGUAUCGACCCCUUUUGUGCCGGAGUCAACACAAUAAGCAUUCCGCCUGGGGAGUACGGCCGCAAGGUUGAAACUCAAAUGAAUUGACGGGG
rnacentral:rRNA from 1 species